rnacentral:rRNA from 1 species
GGUUAAGCGACUAAGCGUACACGGUGGAUGCCCUGGCAGUCAGAGGCGAUGAAGGGCGUGCUAAUCUGCGAUAAGCGCCGGUAAGGUGAUAUGAACCGUUAUAACCGGCGAUACCCGAAUGGGGAAACCCAGUGUGACUCGUCACACUAUCAUUAACUGAAUCCAUAGGUUAAUGAGGCGAACCGGGGGAACUGAAACAUCUAAGUACCCCGAGGAAAAGAAAUCAACCGAGAUUCCCCCAGUAGCGGCGAGCGAACGGGGAGGAGCCCAGAGCCUGAAUCAGCAUGUGUGUUAGUGGAAGCGUCUGGAAAGGCGCGCGAUACAGGGUGACAGCCCCGUACACAAAAGCGCAUGUGCUGUGAGCUCGAUGAGUAGGGCGGGACACGUGGUAUCCUGUCUGAAUAUGGGGGGACCAUCCUCCAAGGCUAAAUACUCCUGACUGACCGAUAGUGAACCAGUACCGUGAGGGAAAGGCGAAAAGAACCCCGGCGAGGGGAGUGAAAAAGAACCUGAAACCGUGUACGUACAAGCAGUGGGAGCACAGGUUUACCUGUGUGACUGCGUACCUUUUGUAUAAUGGGUCAGCGACUUAUAUUCUGUAGCAAGGUUAACCGAAUAGGGGAGCCGCAGGGAAACCGAGUCUUAAUUGGGCGUUAAGUUGCAGGGUAUAGACCCGAAACCCGGUGAUCUAGCCAUGGGCAGGUUGAAGGUUGGGUAACACUAACUGGAGGACCGAACCGACUAAUGUUGAAAAAUUAGCGGAUGACCUGUGGCUGGGGGUGAAAGGCCAAUCAAACCGGGAGAUAGCUGGUUCUCCCCGAAAGCUAUUUAGGUAGCGCCUCGUGAAUUCAUCUCCGGGGGUAGAGCACUGUUUCGGCUAGGGGGCCAUCCCGGCUUACCAACCCGAUGCAAACUGCGAAUACCGGAGAAUGUUAUCACGGGAGACACACGGCGGGUGCUAACGUCCGUCGUGAAGAGGGAAACAACCCAGACCGCCAGCUAAGGUCCCAAAGUCAUGGUUAAGUGGGAAACGAUGUGGGAAGGCCCAGACAGCCAGGAUGUUGGCUUAGAAGCAGCCAUCAUUUAAAGAAAGCGUAAUAGCUCACUGGUCGAGUCGGCCUGCGCGGAAGAUGUAACGGGGCUAAACCAUGCACCGAAGCUGCGGCAGCGACACUCAGGCGUUGUUGGGUAGGGGAGCGUUCUGUAAGCCUGUGAAGGUGGCCUGUGAGGGUUGCUGGAGGUAUCAGAAGUGCGAAUGCUGACAUAAGUAACGAUAAAGCGGGUGAAAAGCCCGCUCGCCGGAAGACCAAGGGUUCCUGUCCAACGUUAAUCGGGGCAGGGUGAGUCGACCCCUAAGGCGAGGCCGAAAGGCGUAGUCGAUGGGAAACGGGUUAAUAUUCCCGUACUUGGUGUUACUGCGAAGGGGGGACGGAGAAGGCUAUGUUGGCCGGGCGACGGUUGUCCCGGUUUAAGCGUGUAGGUGUGUGUUCCAGGUAAAUCCGGUUCACUUUAACACUGAGGCGUGAUGACGAGGCACUACGGUGCUGAAGCAACAAAUGCCCUGCUUCCAGGAAAAGCCUCUAAGCAUCAGGUAACAUCAAAUCGUACCCCAAACCGACACAGGUGGUCAGGUAGAGAAUACCAAGGCGCUUGAGAGAACUCGGGUGAAGGAACUAGGCAAAAUGGUGCCGUAACUUCGGGAGAAGGCACGCUGACACGUAGGUGAAGUGAUUUACUCAUGGAGCUGAAGUCAGUCGAAGAUACCAGCUGGCUGCAACUGUUUAUUAAAAACACAGCACUGUGCAAACACGAAAGUGGACGUAUACGGUGUGACGCCUGCCCGGUGCCGGAAGGUUAAUUGAUGGGGUCAGCGCAAGCGAAGCUCCUGAUCGAAGCCCCGGUAAACGGCGGCCGUAACUAUAACGGUCCUAAGGUAGCGAAAUUCCUUGUCGGGUAAGUUCCGACCUGCACGAAUGGCGUAAUGAUGGCCAGGCUGUCUCCACCCGAGACUCAGUGAAAUUGAACUCGCUGUGAAGAUGCAGUGUACCCGCGGCAAGACGGAAAGACCCCGUGAACCUUUACUAUAGCUUGACACUGAACAUUGAGCCUUGAUGUGUAGGAUAGGUGGGAGGCUUUGAAGUGUGGACGCCAGUCUGCAUGGAGCCGACCUUGAAAUACCACCCUUUAAUGUUUGAUGUUCUAACGUGGACCCGUAAUCCGGGUUGCGGACAGUGUCUGGUGGGUAGUUUGACUGGGGCGGUCUCCUCCUAAAGAGUAACGGAGGAGCACGAAGGUUGGCUAAUCCUGGUCGGACAUCAGGAGGUUAGUGCAAUGGCAUAAGCCAGCUUGACUGCGAGCGUGACGGCGCGAGCAGGUGCGAAAGCAGGUCAUAGUGAUCCGGUGGUUCUGAAUGGAAGGGCCAUCGCUCAACGGAUAAAAGGUACUCCGGGGAUAACAGGCUGAUACCGCCCAAGAGUUCAUAUCGACGGCGGUGUUUGGCACCUCGAUGUCGGCUCAUCACAUCCUGGGGCUGAAGUAGGUCCCAAGGGUAUGGCUGUUCGCCAUUUAAAGUGGUACGCGAGCUGGGUUUAGAACGUCGUGAGACAGUUCGGUCCCUAUCUGCCGUGGGCGCUGGAGAACUGAGGGGGGCUGCUCCUAGUACGAGAGGACCGGAGUGGACGCAUCACUGGUGUUCGGGUUGUCAUGCCAAUGGCACUGCCCGGUAGCUAAAUGCGGAAGAGAUAAGUGCUGAAAGCAUCUAAGCACGAAACUUGCCCCGAGAUGAGUUCUCCCUGAGACUUAGAGUCUCCUGAAGGAACGUUGAAGACGACGACGUUGAUAGGCCGGGUGUGUAAGCGCAGCGAUGCGUUGAGCUAACCGGUACUAAUGAACCGUGAGGCUUAACCUU